AUAAUAACUUCGCCUGUAGCUCCUUCUCCGGGUGCUACUGCCGUUCCUAAGCCCGGAUAAAGGAGGAGGGUUAA
rnacentral:ribozyme from 2 species